rnacentral:lncRNA from 1 species
UCUGAUGGAGUGGAAUGGCUCUCUAUCCCAUCGAUCUAGGAGAAGCUCGGAUGUUUUCGAGGCUGCUGACGAGUCUACUGUUGUCAGACGUCUCAAGCGCUGAUGCUACAGGCGGGAGUCAUCUGCUGUAGAAGCUCGGAUGGAGACUUUCUAUUGGUGAAGUCUGGUAGGAGUCCGAUUGCUAGAGAAGUCCAUCUGGGAUUCGCCUGAU